rnacentral:rRNA from 1 species
AGGGUGUAAACGCUGCAGACUUGGUGUUGGGGGCCCUUUGGGGGCAUUCAGUGCCGGAGAGAAGUUGUUAAGUCUGCUACUUGGGGAGUACGUCCGCAAGGAUGAAACUUAAAGGAAUUGGCGGGGGAGCACAACAACGGGUGGAGCUUGCGGUUUAAUUGGAUUCAACGCCGGAAAUCUUACCGGGACCGACAGCAACAUGAAGGCCAAGCUGAAGACUUUGCCGGAUUAGCUGAGAGGUGGUGCAUGGCGUAGUCGUGU